rnacentral:rRNA from 1 species
GACGAACGCUGGCGGCGUGCUUAACACAUGCAAGUCGAACGGAAAGGCCCUGCUUUUGUGGGGUGCUCGAGUGGCGAACGGGUGAGUAACACGUGAGUAACCUGCCCUUGACUUUGGGAUAACUUCAGGAAACUGGGGCUAAUACCGGAUAGGAGCUCCUGCUGCCUGGUGGGGGUUGGAAAGUUUCGGCGUUUGGGGCUGGACUCGCGGCUUAUCAGCUUGUUGGUGGGGUAGUGGCUUACCAAGGCUUUGACGGGUAGCCGGCCUGAGAGGGUGACCGGCCACAUUGGGACUGAGAGACGGCCAAGACUCGUACGGGAGGCAGAAGUGGGGAAUAUUGCAAAAUGGGCGGAAGCCUGAUGCAGCAACGCCGCGUGCGGGAUGACGGCUUUCGGGUUGUAAACCGCUUUCGCCUGUGACGAAGCGUGAGUGACGGUAAUGGGUAAAGAAGAACCGGCUAACUAAGUG